rnacentral:rRNA from 1 species
UGGGGAAUAUUGGACAAUGGGGGCAACCCUGGUCCAGCCAUGCCGCGUGAGUGAUGAAGGCCUUAGGGUUGUAAAGCUCUUUCACCCGGGACGAUAAUGACGGUACCGGGAGAAGAAGCCCCGGCUAACUUCGUGCCAGCAGCCGCGGUAAUACGAAGGGGGCUAGCGUUGUUCGGAAUCACUGGGCGUAAAGCGCACGUAGGCGGACCGUUAAGUCGGAGGUGAAAUCCUGGGGCUCAACCCCAGAACUGCCUUCGAUACUGGCGGUCUCGAGUCCGGGAAGAGGUGAGUGGAACUGCCAGUGUAGAGGUGAAAUUCGUAGAUAUUGGCAAGAACACCAGUGGCGAAGGCGGCUCACUGGUCCGGUACUGACGCUGAGGCGCGAAAGCGUGGGGAGCAACAGGAUUAGAUACCCUGGUAGUCCACGCCGUAAACGAUGAAUGCCAGCCGUCGGGCAGCAUGCUGUUCGGUGCGCAGCUAACGCUUUAAGCAUCCGCCUGGGGAGUACGGUCGCAAGAUUAAAACUCAAAUGAAUUGACGGGGUCAUAGCUGUUUCCU